rnacentral:rRNA from 1 species
GAUGAACGCUGGCGGCGUGCCUAAUACAUGCAAGUCGAGCGAACGGACGAGAAGCUUGCUUCUCUGAUGUUAGCGGCGGACGGGUGAGUAACACGUGGAUAACCUACCUAUAAGACUGGGAUAACUUCGGGAAACCGGAGCUAAUACCGGAUAAUAUUUUGAACCGCAUGGUUCAAAAGUGAAAGACGGUCUUGCUGUCACUUAUAGAUGGAUCCGCGCUGCAUUAGCUAGUUGGUAAGGUAACGGCUUACCAAGGCAACGAUGCAUAGCCGACCUGAGAGGGUGAUCGGCCACACUGGAACUUGACCACGGUCCAGGCUCCUACGGGAGGCAGCAGUCGGGAAUCGUCCGCAAUGGUCGAAAGCCUGACGGAGCAACGCCGCGUGAGUGAUGACGGUCUUCGGAUCGUAAAACUCUGUUAUUAGGGAAGAACAUAUGUGUAAGUAACUGUGCACAUCUUGACGGCACCUAAUCAGAAAGCCACGGCUAACUACGUG